GUUGUGGCCGAGUGUGGUUAAGGCGAUAGACUUGAACUCUAGCGGGCGUAGUUCGAACCCUACCAACUGCG
rnacentral:tRNA from 1 species